GACGAACGCUGGCGGCGUGCUUAACACAUGCAGGUCGAACGGAAAGGCCCUGCUUUUGUGGGGUGCUCGAGUGGCGAACGGGUGAGUAACACGUGAGUAACCUGCCCUUGACUUUGGGAUAACUUCAGGAAACUGGGGCUAAUACCGGAUAGGAGCUCCUGCUGCAUGGUGGGGGUUGGAAAGUUUCGGCGGUUGGGGAUGGACUCGCGGCUUAUCAGCUUGUUGGUGGGGUAGUGGCUUACCAAGGCUUUGACGGGUAGCCGGCCUGAGAGGGUGACCGGCCACAUUGGGACUGAGAUACGGCGCAGACUCCUACGGGAGGCAGCAGUGGGGAAUAUUGCACAAUGGGCGGAAGCCUGAUGCAGAAACGCCGCGUGCGGGAUGACGGCCUUCGGGUUGUAAACCGCUUUCGCCUGUGACGAAGCGUGAGUGACGGUAAUGGGUAAAGAAGCACCGGCUAACUACGUG
rnacentral:rRNA from 1 species